rnacentral:ncRNA from 1 species
AAGAGCCCCAGUAUGGUUACCUACUAAGUGAGAACUUUCAAAUUCAGAGAAACCCUGGAAUUAAAAACGGGCAAUCCUGAGCCAAAUCCUGUUUUACAAAAAUAAACAAAGGUUCGGAAAGAAAGAAUUAAAAAAAAAGGGGGGAUAGGUGCAGAGACUCAAUGGAAGCUGUUCUAACAAAUGGGGUUGACCACCUUUCCGUUAGUAAAGGAAUCCUUCUAUCGAAAUUCCAGAAAGGAUGAAGGAUAAACCUAUACGCAUACCUAAAGGUAAUGAAAAACUAUCUCAAAAAAGAGGACCAAAGCCCUUUUAUAUUAUAUAUUUUUAUGAAAAAUAGAAAUAUAAAGAAUUGUUGUGAAUUGGUAUUGAUUCCAAGUUGAAGAAAGAAUCGAUUACAACAUUCAUUAAUAAAAUUAUUCACCCCAAAGUUUGAUAAAUCUUUUGAAGAACGGAUUAAUCGGACGAGAAUAAAGAUAGAGUCCCGUUCUACAUGUCAAUAUCAAUACUGACAAGAAUGCAAUUUAUAGUAAGAGGAAAAAUCCCGUCGACUUUUAAAAUCGUGAGGGUUCAAGGUCCCUCUAUCCCCA